rnacentral:rRNA from 1 species
UACGUAGGGUGCAAGCGUUGCCCGGAUUUAUUGGGCGUAAAGGGCGCGUAGGCGGCUCGGCACGUCCAUUGUGAAAUCGCCCGGCUCAACUGGGCGGGGUCAGCGGAUACGGUCGAGCUUGAGCAAGCUAGGGGGCAAUGGAAUUCCCGGUGUAGUGGUGGAAUGCGUAGAUAUCGGGAGGAACACCAGUGGCGAAGGCGGUUGCCUGGAGCUUUGCUGACGCUGAGGCGCGAAAGCGUGGGGAGCGAUCCGG